GCGGAGAUAGCUCGGUUGGGAGAGUGUUAGGUCGAAGAUCCGAACGUCACGUGUUUAAUCCACAUUCACCGCA